GGUCUAUCCCUGCUUUGGUUGAUAUUU
rnacentral:miRNA from 1 species